GAUGAACGCUGGCGGCGUGCCUAAUACAUGCAAGUCGAGCGAACAGACGAGGAGCUUGCUCCUCUGACGUUAGCGGCGGACGGGUGAGUAACACGUGGAUAACCUACCUAUAAGACUGGGAUAACUUCGGGAAACCGGAGCUAAUACCGGAUAAUAUAUUGAACCGCAUGGUUCAAUAGUGAAAGACGGUUUUGCUGUCACUUAUAGAUGGAUCCGCGCCGCAUUAGCUAGUUGGUAAGGUAACGGCUUACCAAGGCAACGAUGCGUAGCCGACCUGAGAGGGGGCGCGCCCACAGUGAAACUGACCACGGUCCAAGCCCCCGAGGGGGGGAAGCGGGGGGGACUCUCCCGAAGGGGGGGAAGCCUUACGGGACAACCCCGGGGGGAGUAAGAAGGUUUUCGGGACCGAAAACCUCUUUUAUUGGGAAAAAAAAAAUGUUAAAGAAACUCGCCACGUCUGGAGGUACCCAAAAAAGAAAGCCCCGGUAAACUACGU
rnacentral:rRNA from 1 species